AGAAUAUAUAACAUGACACAAUAAAGAGUAAAAACUUAAAUAUUACAUCUAGUAUACUAUCAUCAUGACAAGACAAGAUCUUCUAGGUCGUUAUUGUUAAUUAAGUCUACUCUAGUUCUAUCCCCUUCCACUUCUAUAGCUUCAACCAUAGGUCUCCUAAAUUAUUCCAGAGCAGUUGCAAAAUAAAUGCUUCAUUCCAAUAUAUGAACAAAACCUGUCUAUACAUAGGUUUUGUUUAUAGAUUCUGGAUGCUAAUGCUGUGUCCUUAUCUUUUCUGCAUGUAUGGCUGCUUUAUGUUCUUUAAUCCAAGUAGAAAGACAAUGCUUAGUUAUUAUAUAUAAUCUACUCAAUAGUCUGGUCCUAAUACCAGCAUGGUCACAGAAUCCCAUUCUGGAUAACCUGAUAUAUUUAGGACUUUGUUUUGAAGGGCUUAUACAGAUUGUUGAGAUAUGAAAAUAGGAUAUAAGAGUUCUGUUUAAUAAUUGCACAAGGCUCCAAACAUGGUAUGCCUAUAAAAUCAUGAAAGGAUUAUAGGAAGAAGUUACUAAAUCUGACAUCUAAUGAUAUUAUACAGUCUACAUCCAAGUCAAGAUAAUCGAAUGCAGUUGAACCAGUGAUAUUGUUAUUAUAACAUAUGAUCCAUUAUGUACAUUGCUUAAAAAGAUCAGCUAAGGGUGCCCUUUGUAAUCUUGUGUAUAGGAGAAAACUCAUUAUUUUUUCACUGCUUAGAAACUAUAAGGAUGCUAUUAGCUCAGACAGAAAAUCUGGUUCUACUCCAUCCCAGUCUGCAACCACAUUAAUACAAUGCCAUUCACAAUACAUAAGCAGAACUAAGUAUUGUCUUUCUACCAAGAUUAAAGAACAUAAGGCAGGGAUAUGUGCAGGGAACUAUUUCAGGGUACAGGGAGAUUAAGGAACAUAAGGCAGGGAUAUGUGCAGGGAAGAUGGAUACAGCAUUAGCAUCCAGAGCACAUAAACAAAACCUGUCCAUCUAUUGUGCAAUUGCUUCGGAAUAAUUUAGGAGGCCCUACAGCUGAUGCUAUAAAGAUGAAAAGGCUUAAAACUAUGUAAUGCCUUUCCACUUCUAUAAAAAAAAAACUCUCCCGCUAAAAGUGCUUAUUAUUUAUAUGAUAUCUUAAUCUAUUAUAUAUUUCUAAAAGUUUUUCUGUCCAUUCAAUCCACAAUCUUUACAAAUAGUUGGAC
rnacentral:lncRNA from 1 species